rnacentral:rRNA from 1 species
GACGAACGCUGGCGGCGUGCUUAACACAUGCAAGUCGAACGAAGUGGCGAACGGGUGAGUAACGCGUAAUCAACCUGCCCUUCAGAGGGGGACAACAGUUGGAAACGACUGCUAAUACCGCAUAAGGAAGGAGGGGAUUGCGUCGGAUUAGCUAGUUGGAGGGGUAACGGCCCACCAAGUCGAUGAUCAGUAGCCGGUCUGAUGGGGUGCACGGCCACAGUGGGACGGGGACACGGCCCAGAUUCCUACGGGAGGCAGCAGUGGGGAUUCUUCCGCAAUGUACGAAAGUCUGACGGGGCAACGCCGCGUGAGUGAUGACGGCCUUCGGGUUGUAAAGCUCUUUUCAUCGGGACGCGGUACCGGAAUAGAAAGCCACGGCUAACUACGUGCCAGCCGCCGCGGUAAUUC